GGCACUUUGGCGGAGUGGUUAACGCGAUGCCCUGCUAUGAACUAAGUAAGUAGUGGAAGGCAUUCCCUUCGGGGGCGUGUGUUCGAAUCACACAGGUGUCG